AGGACCGCCUCCAGUUGAUAUUAUGCUUCCCCAGUAGUUGGUAAAGCUUUCCUUUAUUUUGAAGGCCAUCAACUAACUUGAAUGAAAAUACAAACAGGAUGUAACAUAAGAACCCCACAAUUCAUAGAAGCAUCGUAGAACAUCUCCAGAAACUUGAGUAACGUACGUGCCUUGUUCCAGUCAUCAAUGGUGGGAGCCCCUUCUGCAAGAGCAUUUAUAAAUUUUGGAUCAUCCUCUCAAAUGUAUUCUGAAGAGCCAGUAUGUUGAAUUCCAUCUUUAUGUCUUACAAUUUUGUGAUUUUUUUAUUGAUUUUAAUAUAUAUAUUUUUUAUCAUUUAGUAGUAGCCAAAAAUGUACA
rnacentral:lncRNA from 1 species